rnacentral:rRNA from 1 species
CAAUAGCGUAUAUUAAAGUUGUUGCGGUUAAAAGCUCGUAGUUGGAUUUCUGCCGAGGACGACCGGUCCGCCCUCUGGGUGAGCAUCUGGCUCGGCCUGGGCAUCUUCUUGGAGAACGUAUCUGCACUUGACUGUUUGGUGCGGUAUUCAGGAACUUUUACCUUGAGGAAAUUAGAGUGUUUCAAGCAGGCAUACGCCUUGAAUACAUUAGCAUGGAAUAAUAAGAUAGGACCUCGGUUCUAUUUUGUUGGUUUCUAGAUCUGAGGUAAUGAUUAAUAGGGAUAGCUGGGGGCGAUUCGUAUUUAAGCUGUCAUGAGGUGAAAUUCUUGGAUUUGAUAAAGACGGACUACUGCGAAAACAUUUGCCAAGGAUGUUUUCAUU